rnacentral:rRNA from 1 species
GACGAACGCUGGCGGCGUGCCUAAUACAUGCAAGUCGAACGCUUCUUUCCUCCCGAGUGCUUGCACUCAAUUGGAAAGAGGAGUGGCGGACGGGUGAGUAACACGUGGGUAACCUACCCAUCAGAGGGGGAUAACACUUGGAAACAGGUGCUAAUACCGCAUAACAGUUUAUGCCGCAUGGCAUAAGAGUGAAAGGCGCUUUCGGGUGUCGCUGAUGGAUGGACCCGCGGUGCAUUAGCUAGUUGGUGAGGUAACGGCUCACCAAGGCCACGAUGCAUAGCCGACCUGAGAGGGUGAUCGGCCACACUGGGACUGAGACACGGCCCAGACUCCUACGGGAGGCAGCAGUAGGGAAUCUUCGGCAAUGGACGAAAGUCUGACCGAGCAACGCCGCGUGAGUGAAGAAGGUUUUCGGAUCGUAAAACUCUGUUGUUAGAGAAGAACAAGGACGUUAGUAACUGAACGUCCCCUGACGGUAUCUAACCAGAAAGCCACGGCUAACUACGUGCCAGCAGCCGCGGUAAUACGUAGGUGGCAAGCGUUGUCCGGAUUUAUUGGGCGUAAAGCGAGCGCAGGCGGUUUCUUAAGUCUGAUGUGAAAGCCCCCGGCUCAACCGGGGAGGGUCAUUGGAAACUGGGAGACUUGAG